rnacentral:rRNA from 1 species
ACUCCUACGGGAGGCAGCAGUGAGGAAUUUUGGACAAUGGGGAACCGACUGAUCCAGCGACGCCGCGUGUGGGAUGAAGGGGUUAUGCCCUGCAAACCACUGUCAGCAGAGAAGAAAAGGCUCUUUUAGAGCCCGGACUGUAUCNGCAGAGGAAGGAGCCGGCUAACUACGUGCCAGCAGCCGCGGUAAUACGUAGGGUCCAAGCGUUGUCCGGAAUUACUGGGUAUAAAGGGGUCGUAGGCGGCUUUGUGCGUCGAAGGUUAAAGGCCAUGGCUCAACCAUGGAAAUGCCCUCGAUACGGCAAAGCUUGAGUGUGAGAGAGGAAGAUGGAAUUCCUGGUGUAGCAGUGAAAUGCGUAGAUAUCAGGAGGAACACCGGUGGCGAAGGCGGUCUUCUGGCUCACUACUGACGCUGAGGCACGAAAGUGUGGGGGAGCGAACAGGAUUAG